AUUGAACGCUGGCGGCAUGCCUUACACAUGCAAGUCGAACGGUAACAGGUCUUCGGAUGCUGACGAGUGGCGAACGGGUGAGUAAUACAUCGGAACGUGCCUAGUAGUGGGGGAUAACUACUCGAAAGAGUGGCUAAUACCGCAUGAGAUCUACGGAUGAAAGCAGGGGAUCGCAAGACCUUGUGCUACUAGAGCGGCCGAUGGCAGAUUAGGUAGUUGGUGGGAUAAAAGCUUAACAAGCCGACGAUCUGUAGCUGGUCUGAGAGGACGAUCAGCCACACUGGGGCUGUGACACGGCGCAGACUCCUACGGGAGGCAGCAGUGGGGAAUGUUGGUCAAUGGGCGCAAGCCUGAUCCAGCAAUGCCGCGUGCAGGAUGAAGGCCUUCGGGUUGUAAACUGCUUUUGUACGGAACGAAAAGCCCUGGGUUAAUGCCCUGGGGUCAUGACGGUACCGUAAGAAUAAGCACCGGCUAACUACGUGCCAGCCGCCGCAGUAACAC
rnacentral:rRNA from 1 species